AUGGCUCAGGAUGAACGCUAGCGGCAGGCUUAACACAUGCGAAGUCGAGGGGCAGCAUGAUGUAGCAAUACAUUGAUGGCGACCGGCGCAAGGGUGCGUAACGCGUGAGCAACUUGCCCGUUUCUGGGGGAAUAACCGGUGGAAACGCCGACUAAUACCCCAUAGUAUUGACUUUGGGCAUCCUUAGUCAAUUAAAGAAAUUCGGAAACGGAUAGGCUCGCGUUCCAUUAGAUAGUCGGUGAGGUAACGGCUCACCGAGUCUAUGAUGGAUAGGGGUUCUGAGAGGAAGGUCCCCCACAUUGGAACUGCGACACGGUCCAAACUCCUACGGGAGGCAGCAGUGAGGAAUAUUGGUCAAUGGUCGGAAGACUGAACCAGCCAAGUAGCGUGCAGGAUGACGGCCCUAUGGGUUGUAAACUGCUUUUAUAUGGGAAUAAAAUACGUUACGUGUAAUGUUUUGCAUGUACCAUAUGAAUAAGGAUCGGCUAACUCCGUG
rnacentral:rRNA from 1 species